rnacentral:rRNA from 1 species
UGCGUAGGUGGCUCAAUCAGUCAGAGGUGAAAUCUUGCGGCUUAACCGUAAAAUUGCCUUUGAUACUGUUGGGCUUGAAUUAGGUUGAGGUUGGCGGAAUGUGGCAUGUAGCGGUGAAAUGCAUAGAUAUGCCAUAGAACACCAAUUGCGAAGGCAGCUGACUAGACCUUAAUUGACACUGAGGCACGAAAGCGUGGGGAGCGAACAGGAUUAGAUACCCUGGUAGUCC